rnacentral:rRNA from 1 species
CGGCCAAACAAGUCCGUUGGGAAAUCGACGCGCUCAACGCGUCGGCGUCCGGCGGAAACUGUUUGGCUUGGGGCCAGAAGAUCUGAGGGGUACGUCCGGGGUAGGAGUGAAAUCCCGUAAUCCUGGACGGACCACCGGUGGCGAAAGCGCCUCAGAAAGAUGGACCCGACGGUGAGGGACGAAAGCUAGGGUCUCGAACCGGAUUAGAUACCCGGGUAGUCCUAGCUGUAAACGAUGCUCGCUAGGUGUGCCACAGGCUACGAGCCUGUGCUGUGCCCUAGGGAAGCCGAGAAGCGAGCCGCCUGGGAA